UACGGAGGGGGCUAGCGUUGUUCGGAAUUACUGGGCGUAAAGCGCGCGUAGGCGGACCUGCAAGUCGGGGGUGAAAGCCCGAGGCUCAACCUCGGAACUGCCUUCGAUACUGCGGGUCUCGAGUCCGGGAGAGGUGAGUGGAAUUCCUAGUGUAGAGGUGAAAUUCGUAGAUAUCGUAAGGAAGACCAGUGGCGAAGGCGGGUCUCUGGACAGUUCCUGACGCUGAGGCACGAAGGCCAGGGGAGCAAACGGG
rnacentral:rRNA from 1 species